rnacentral:tRNA from 1 species
GAGGGUAGCUUGCUAGCACCAAAGACUGCUAAUCUUUGUCCCCUCGGUUGGAUCCCGAAGUCCCCUCG